UGCUGCAAUGUUUCUUGUGUUGCAUAAAAUCUUUGGCAAGCACACUUCAGAAUGCCUUCAGCCUGCCUACGAGAACUGACAGCAGCCGUUGUUAAAUCCGCAUAUCAGGAACUGGUCUGCAGUCAUCUACUGAACCAACCUCCCCUUAGAAUUAACUCUCCAUACCAAUCCAGAGUGGAUUCUGACACACAAAUCCAGUAUUGGUUAGUUUUCAGAUUCACACAGAGAUGUACCCUUUCUGACUCUAAUGCACCAUGUCCUGACACCUCCUGAAACCAGAUGAGUGAAAGAACUUUUGUGAAGUAAGAAAAAGUAGAACUGAAUUAUUCCUGCUGGAGAAUAUUUGAACAUUUAAAGCUUCCAUCUCCAACUGAGUUUGGAACUUAAAAUAUAACUUCAUUAUAAUUUUAUAGCAGAAAUAUCCUGUGAAGAUCACCUAACUACUGCUUUAUUUGUACACUAUUAAAUGUUAUAGUUUAUUGCUUGAAAUAUCGAUUCUUAUUUACAAGAUUUUUCUCCUUCAAUAAAUCCCGUCUAGGAUAACUGUGCUAUCAGAUGCUUUCUGUUAUCUUCAGCAAAACAAUUCUACUGUUUCCUACCAACUACUCAAAAUGUUGUAUUAUGGGCUACUCCUUAUCACUGAAAUAACCCAAAAUGAUGCAUCACAAUAUGAUUCAUCAAGGGUUGAGUAAUAAACAGACCAACUUUAAGGGAACCAGUUUUUGUGAAAACAGAUUCAAAGAACGGAAGAGAAGAUAAGAGUGCCAAGAAAUGUCGAUUUUAAAACAAAAUACUUCUUCAUUCAAAUGAGGGAAGAACAAUUUCUAGAAAAAAAAAAAAUGUUUCUCAAUUAUCUUACCCAUACAGUUUAACUGCAAAAGAAGACUUUUCAUUGUUAUUUUUCAAACAUUUGACAAACGAUUCCACCCUUGUCAUAGCAGAAAAUAUCAUGGCAAUUAUAUGAAAUAGUUUCCCAGUGAAGAACCAUUUCACAAGUAAAACACUGAACUGUUUCUACUGUUUUUAUAUUAUAGCUUCUCAAAUUCUUCCUCAAUCAGUCAUAACAACUUAGCUUGAUUAAACUUUGUGUUAUCUGCA